GUGCCAGCCGCUGCGGUAAUACGGAAGGUGCGAGCGUUGUUCGGAUUUACUGGGCGUAAAGCGCGCGCAGGCGGACUGACAAGUCAGAUGUGAAAUCUCAGGGCUUAACCCUGAAAUUGCGUCUGAAACUGCCAGUCUAGAGUAUCAGAGGGGUAGGGAAUUUCACGUGUAGGGGUAAAAUCCGUAGAGAUGUGAAGGAACACCGGUGGCGAAGGCGCCUACCUGGAUGAUUACUGACGCUGAGGCGCGAAAGCGUGGGAGCAAACAGGAUUAGAUACCCUGGUAGUCCACGCCGUAAACGAUGAGUACUAGUUAUUGUGGGUAUUGACCCCUGCAGUGACGAAGCUAACGCAUUAAGUACU
rnacentral:rRNA from 1 species